GCCUUCUUAGCUCAGUGGUAGAGCGUGUCACUCGUAUCCCACAUUCAUAAAAAAACGUUUAUGACAAGGUCAGUCGUUCAAGUCGGCUAGGAGGCA